rnacentral:rRNA from 1 species
UACGAAGGGGACUAGCGUUGUUCGGAAUCACUGGGCGUAAAGCGCACGUAGGCGGAUGUGUCAGUCAGGGGGUGAAAUCCCGGGGCUCAACCUCGGAACUGCCUUUGAUACAGCACGUCUCGAGUCCGGAAGAGGUGGGUGGAAUUCCUAGUGUAGAGGUGAAAUUCGUAGAUAUUAGGAAGAACACCGGUGGCGAAGGCGGCCCACUGGUCCGGUACUGACGCUGAGGUGCGAAAGCGUGGGGAGCAAACAGG